rnacentral:rRNA from 1 species
UAGAGUUUGAUCAUGGCUCAGGAUGAACGCUAGCGGCAGGCUUAACACAUGCAAGUCGAGGGGCAUCGGGAGGGAAGCUUGCUUUCCUUGCCGGCGACCGGCGCACGGGUGAGUAACACGUAUGCAACCUGCCCUCUUCAGGGGGACAACCUUCCGAAAGGGAGGCUAAUCCCGCGUAUAUCGGUUUCGGGCAUCCGGGAUCGAGGAAAGAUUCAUCGGAAGAGGAUGGGCAUGCGGCGCAUUAGCUUGACGGCGGGGUAACGGCCCACCGUGGCGACGAUGCGUAGGGGUUCUGAGAGGAAGGUCCCCCACACUGGUACUGAGACACGGACCAGACUCCUACGGGAGGCAGCAGUGAGGAAUAUUGGUCAAUGGGAGAGAUCCUGAACCAGCCAAGCCGCGUGAGGGAAGACGGCCCUAUGGGUUGUAAACCUCUUUUGUCGGAGAACAAAACCCGGGACGUGUCCCGGACUGCGUGUAUCCGAAGAAAAAGCAUCGGCUAACUCCGUGCCAGCAGCCGCGGUAAUACGGAGGAUGCGAGCGUUAUCCGGAUUUAUUGGGUUUAAAGGGUGCGUAGGCGGUCCGUUAAGUCAGCGGUAAAAUUGCGGGGCUCAACCCCGUCGAGCCGUUGAAACUGGCAGACUUGAGUUGGCGAGAAGUACGCGGAAUGCGCGGUGUAGCGGUGAAAUGCAUAGAUAUCGCGCAGAACUCCGAUUGCGAAGGCAGCGUACCGGCGCCACACUGACGCUGAGGCACGAAAGCGUGGGGAUCGAACAGGAUUAGAUACCC